CCGUGCCACCUUCAGUUCCAGUAGCUGUAGUUUCCUCUGCAAUGCCCUGUUUUCUUUCUGGCUUUGAGUUAUUUCCAAACGAAACACUGCAUACUCGUCGUCUACGACUUUACAGAUCUCUGCCACGGCUGCAUUCGCUAGCACCUCCAUGAUGGAGGCUAUUUGAGUGUGAAAAACCACACCGUCACAGGUUGCCAUUGUUAGUUAACGUCAGCAACUAGCAAGCUAGCGUUACGAAGAUAACAUAUGAACAAAGUCCUGUCUCCAACGUGAAUUACACACUACCUGUGACAGUGGCAACGAUGAUGAUUAUGGACAUGGUCUUUUGCCUGCUAAUGCCUGCAAUGCAGUGAAGAAAACGAUAUGACAACAAUAACGUCUAAUGUAACUGUCUGGUGAGUAUGCAGGCCAUGGAAGAACUGGGACAUUUCAGCUUCCAGGAAUUGUGUACAGAUCCUACGGUAUCUCUGGGCAUUCAAGUCACGAUAAAAUGCAAUUCUGUUCCUUGUCCAUAGCUUAUGCCUGCCCAUACCAUAACCCCACUGCCACCAUGGGGCACUCUGUUCACAACGUUGAAUCAGCAAACCACGCACCCACACAAACUCCCUUAACUUGAGGCAUAUGUGGAAUUGUGUUGUGUGACAAAACUGCACAUUUUAGAGUGGCAUUUUACGUGGUCUGUGGAGACAAUAAAAUGCCACUCAUCACCUGUGUGAUGAUCACUGGACAUGUGGCUGGAUUAUCUUGGCUAAGUAGAAAUGCUCACUAACGGAAGUAAACAAAUUUGUGCACAACAUUUUAGAGAAAUAAGCUUUUUGUGCAUAUUGAACAUUUCUGGGAUAUUUUUCAGCUCAUGAAACAUGGGACCAACACUUUACAUGUUGCGUUUUAUAUUUCUGUUCGGUGUAAAUGCAUAUUCCCAUUAAAUUGAUUGAGAUUAAUUAAAUUAUUGUCAUGGA